rnacentral:lncRNA from 10 species
AUGUUCAUGAAUUUAAACUUUUGUUUUCAGGCAACUACUCUUAGAGUGAGGAAAUUAGAAGAAAACAUUGAAGCAGAAAGAGCAGCGCAUUUGGAAUCAAAAUUUAAUUCUGAAAUUAUUCAGAUCAGGUCAGGCCGGGCGCGGUGGCUCAAGCCUGUAAUUCCAGCACUUUGGGAGGCCGAGACGGGUGGAUCACGAGGUCAGGAGAUCGAGACCAUCCUGCCUAACACGGUGAAACCCCGUCUCUACUAAAAAAAUACAAAAAACUAGCCGGGUGAUGUGGCGGACGCCUGUAGUCCCAGCUACUCGGGAGGCUGAGGCAGGAGAAUGGCACGAACCCGGGAGGCGGAGCUUGCAGUGAGCUGAGAUCCAGCCACUGCACUCCAGCCUGGGCGACAGAGCGAGACUCCGUCUCAAAAAAAAAAAAAAAAAAAAAAAAAGAUCAGGUCCCCAGAAUGGCAUCAAUAAGUAAUAAGACUGAAGUUUUCUUUUUCUUUUCUUUUCUUUUCUUUUUUUUGUUUCUUUUUAUGAUUUCAGCUUUUAUUUUAGAUUCUGGGGGUAUAUGUGUGGUUUGUUACCUGGAUAUAUUGCCUAAUGCUAAGGUUUGGUGCAUGAUUGAUUUUGUCAGCCAGGUAUUGAGUAUAGUACCCAAUCGUUAAUUUUUCAACUCUUACCCCCUUUCUGCCCUCUUCCCUCUAGUAGUCCCCAGUGUAUAUUGCUGUCAUCUUUAUGUCCACAGUUAUCCAGUGUUUAGCUUCUACUUAUAAGUGAGAAUAUGCGGUAUUUGGUUUUCUGUUCCUGUGUUAAUUUGCUUAGGAUAAGGGCUUCCAGCUGCAUCCAUGUUGCAGCACAGGACAUGAUUUUGUUCUUUUUUGUGGCUGCAUAGUAAUCCAUGGUGUAUAUGUACCACAUUUUCUUUAUCUAAUCCAUCGUUGAUUGAUGAGCACCUGCGUUGAUUCCAUGUCUUUGGUAUUGUGAAUAGUGCUGUGAUGAACAUAAAAGUGCAUGUGUUUUUUUGGUAGAAUGAUUUAUUUUCUUUUGGAUAUGUACCCAGUAAUGGGAUUGCUGGGUCAAAUGGUAGUUCUAAGUUCUUUGAGAAAUCUCCAUUUCACUUUCCACAGUGGCUGAACUAAUUUACGUUCCCACCAACAAUAUAUAAACAUUUCCUUUUCUCAGCAGCCUCAUCAGCAUCUUAACAUGCUGUUUUUUGACUUUUUACUAAUAGGCUGAAGUUUUAAAUUCAUGAAAAAAACAGAAUUUCAAAGUUAGGUUUUUCAUUGUAGUUGUGAUAUAUCCCUGGGAAUAUAUAGUUAAUUACUAUAAAUAUGAAAACUAUUACCUAUUUUUUACUUAUAUGGUUUAAAAUUAAUAUUUGAUAUCUCAGUGCUAUGACUUAGAAAAAAUGAAAAGUUUUUAUUUGAAUCAUAAAUCUAUAAAUAUUUACAAAUAUUUUCAAUGAGGUACAUCUAAAACCAUUCAGUUUCAGAGUAGUUUGAUGGAGAGUACUAAGUAGCUGUAACUAAUCACCAUCUUAUAAACUACUGUUGAAUAUGUAUUUGAGAUCUGUUAUUA